rnacentral:rRNA from 1 species
AUUGAACGCGGGCGGAAUGCUUUACACAUGCAAGUCGAACGGCAGCACGGACUUCGGUCUGGUGGCGAGUGGCGAACGGGUGAGUAAUAUAUCGGAACGUAUCCAAUAAUGGGGGAUAACUAAUCGAAAGGUUGGCUAAUACCGCAUACGCCCUACGGGGGAAAGCUAGGGACCUUCGGGCCUGGCGUUAAUGGAGCGGCUGAUAUCUGAUUAGCUAGUAGGUGAGGUAAAGGCUCACCUAGGCGACGAUCAGUAGCUGGUCUGAGAGGACGACCAGCCACACUGGAACUGAGACACGGUCCAGACUCCUACGGGAGGCAGCAGUGGGGAAUUUUGGACAAUGGGCGAAAGCCUGAUCCAGCCAUUCCGCGUGAGUGAAGAAGGCCUUCGGGUUGUAAAGCUCUUUCGCAAGGGAAGAAAACUUAGGCGCUAAUAUCGCUUGAGGUUGACGGUACCUUGAUAAGAAGCACCGGCUAACUACGUGCCAGCAGCCGCGGUAAUACGUAGGGUGCGAGCGUUAAUCGGAAUUACUGGGCGUAAAGCGUGCGCAGGCGGUUUUGUAAGUCAGAUGUGAAAUCCCCGAGCUCAACUUGGGAACUGCGUUUGAAACUAUAAGACUAGAAUAUGUCAGAGGGGGGUAGAAUUCCACGUGUAGCAGUGAAAUGCGUAGAGAUGUGGAGGAAUACCAAUGGCGAAGGCAGCCCCCUGGGAUAAUAUUGACGCUCAUGCACGAAAGCGUGGGGAGCAAACAGGAUUAGAUACCCUGGUAGUCCACGCCCUAAACGAUGUCUACUAGUUGUUGGUGGAGUAAAAUCCAUGAGUAACGCAGCUAACGCGUGAAGUAGACCGCCUGGGGAGUACGGUCGCAAGAUUA